rnacentral:rRNA from 1 species
ACCGUNUGUGCCCUUGACCCGCAAGGGAAGGAGCGGCCCAAGGUAUGACUCAUGAUUGGGUG